rnacentral:rRNA from 1 species
UGAGGAAUAUUGGUCAAUGGGUGCAAGCCUGAACCAGCCAUCCCGCGUGAAGGGCGACUGCCCUAUGGGUUGUAAACUUCUUUUGUAUAGGGAUAAACCUACCCUCGUGAGGGUAGCUGAAGGUACUAUACGAAUAAGCACCGGCUAACUCCGUGCCAGCAGCCGCGGUAAUACGGAGGGUGCAAGCGUUAUCCGGAUUUAUUGGGUUUAAAGGGUCCGUAGGCGGACUUAUAAGUCAGUGGUGAAAGCCUGUCGCUUAACGAUAGAACUGCCAUUGAUACUGUAAGUCUUGAGUAUAUUUGAGGUAGCUGGAAUAAGUAGUGUAGCGGUGAAAUGCAUAGAUAUUACUUAGAACACCAAUUGCGAAGGCAGGUUACCAAGAUAUAACUGACGCUGAGGGACGAAAGCGUGGGGAGCGAACA